rnacentral:rRNA from 1 species
ACAUCUAAGUACCCGGAGGAAGAGAAAGAAAAAUCGAUUUCCUAAGUAGCGGCGAGCGAACGGGAAAGAGCCCAAACCAGAAACUUGUUUCUGGGGUUGUGGAUAGAUCAUAAAAGAAGAGGUAUCUUAAUCGAAGAGGGCUGGAACGCCCUACCAUAGAAGGUAAUAGUCCUGUAGGUAAAAAGAGAAAACUUCGAGAUCUAAUCCAGAGUACCACGAGACACGUGAAACCUUGUGGGAAGCAGGGAGGACCACCUCCCAAGGCUAAAUACUACCUAGUGACCGAUAGUGAAGCAGUACCGUGAGGGAAAGGUGAAAAGAACCCCGGAAGGGGAGUGAAAUAGAACCUGAAACCGUGUGCCUACAACCGAUCGGAGCACGUUAAAGUGUGACGAUGUGCUUUUUGUAGAACGAGCCAGCGAGUUACGCUAUGUAGCAAGGUUAAGUACUUAAGGUAUGGAGCCGAAGGGAAACCGAGUCUGAAAAGGGCGAAAAGUUGCAUGGUGUAGACCCGAAACCGGGUGACCUAUCCAUGGCCAGGUUGAAGCGAGAGUAAAAUCUCGUGGAGGACCGAACCACGUUGGUGUUGAAAAACCAUGGGAUGAGCUGUGGAUAGCGGAGAAAUUCCAAUCGAACUC